AGCCACCGCGCCCAGACAAUAACAUUUCUAAUUUAUUAUUCCUGAAGUCAUUUAUAACCCAGAGACUACUUACAUAUGUUCUCACCAAUGAAAUUACUCCCUUUAUUUUCACACUGAAAGGACAAAUUCAUCCCUGUUUUCAUCUUUACUUUUUUUUUAUUUUCAUAAUUACAACCUUACGUAAAACUUUGAUUAGAAUGAAAAAUGUAAUUUUAAUAGGACACCUGUAUUUCAUAUUAACUAAGGCUGGGCAAGACUAAAAUUCUACUUAUGUCUUUCCCCUUUACACACUUUCAAUUGCUUUUUGGAUAAUGUUCUUUACUAGUGAAAAAAGAUACAUGGUAUAAAUAUACUCAUUUAUGAAGAUUUCUCUAGUGAUGAUGUGAAGAUAUCACUGAAGUUGAAGCUUUUCCCAGAUAAAAUAGGAUGACCAUUGAGUUAAUGAAGUUUUAAGAGCUGAGAACCUUCAACUAGGAACUGGAUAUUAGCAGCAACGCAGGAGCUCAAGAGCUCAGGUUUUGAUUAUGAGAUAAAACUGGUCUUAAAUUCUAGAGCAACCAUUUGAGUAAUCUUGGGCAAAUUAGUGAUUUCCAAAUUCACAAGGCUAAAACAGAACUCUUGCUCCCCCAACCCCAACCUGGUCUUCCUUUAUUCUUCCCCAUGUCAAUUAGAGGCGGCAUCACCACAUAUUCAGUGAUCACGCCAAAAAUCUAAGCUAUUUUUUAUUUUAUUUUUCUCUUUUACUCACUACACAUUCAAUCAUUAGCAUCUCCGAGUGUGUUUCUCUCUCUCUCCUUUUCUUUCUACCAUUGCUAUCCACACACAAACCACCAUCAUAUAAUGCUUGAAUUAUUUCAAGAACUUCCUAAUUUUCCUCCAUACAAUUCAUUCAACAAACAGCAUCCAGAGUGUUAUUUUUUAAUAUAAAUUGUCAUUUACUCCCCUGCUUAUAACUCUCUAGUGAUUCUUCAUCAUAAAUUAAACAUUUAAAUCCCUCCACCAGGCUCACAAUGACCUGUAUGAUCUUGCCCUACUUAUAUAUUCAGUUUCUUUCUAUAACAUUCUCCUUCUUACCCAUUAUGAUCUAGCUCCUUUAGUUCUAUCUGUAAUGUUCAUCCUUUUUGUCCUUCAGACUUCAUCUUAAAUGUUACCUUGAUCUCACCAGUCUAAAGGAGACACCAAGUUACUAAAAUAAUAUAAACUUGUAUUAUUGCUUUUUGUUUUAUUUACUUCUAUACUUUCUGUAUCUGGCACAUAAAAUGUGUUCCUUAAAUAUUUGCUGAAUGAAUGAAUGAACUUAAAGGAAAAAAAAUUUGUUACUGUAAUGCAGAUAAUUCUACCUACCUGUCAGGCUUGGACUAGAAGAUAAAUGAGGCAAGAUAAGUUGAGUGUUUAGCACAGUACCUGGGGCAAAAUAAGACUUCGUAAAUGAUUGCCACUUGUGUUUUUGUUAAAACAGGGACUACAAUAAGGUCUUACAAAGGACUUCUUAUUGAGUAAUAAUAUCUCUCCUAAGUGUAAGAUUCUAAGGACUUUUUUCCAGUGGAAAUUAUUAAAAUAUAGGGGUUUUAUAUGGGCUAGUGAAUGAAUUAUUGAAUGAAUGAUGUUCAGCAUUUUAAGCUAACCUGAAUCAUACUAUUGCUGAUGUAUGUAACACACCUUUAUUCCUUAUUUCUUUACCAUCCUGAGAUUCUAAAGACUACCAUAUUUAACUUUCCUAUGUAUCAGAAGAAACCUGAAAAUUAUAAACUAGAAGGAUUCGACAAAACAAAGAAGCAGUUUGGGAUUUAAAGAGAUCUAGGAAUACGUUAUUUCUACCACUUGCUGAUGAGCUUCAGAUAACCACCUAUAUAUGCUGAGCCUCAAUUUUCUUACGCCACUUCUUUACAGACUUAUUGGAAACGAUGAAUAAGAUACUGAAUGUAAUUAAUUUAGCACAAUGAUUUAGCAGGUGACUGAUAUUCAAUUAAUAGUACAUUUUCUCCAAGUGUGUCACUGAGAAAUAGAUCUAAAAAAAGCUCAGGAAUUCUGUUCUUGUGUUAAUAUGUGAGCUUAGGCUGAUUUCAAUGUUGUUUAGGCUUUCUUGUAUUUCUUUACCCUGUUCUUGGAGGUGCCAGUGUGGCCAUGCUGCCUACUAGGUUUUCUUCUCAUAUACUCAGUUUCACUGGUGCUAUGUGCAACUACACUAUUUUUGUAAGUGGUAGUAAUUUCUUUGAAACACAAAGCCAAAAUUAAUAAGUAGUGACAGCUUAUAGGGGUGAAGUAAUCAUUUUUAAAAAGGUCUUGGCAGUUGGUUUCUUGAAUAAGAAAUGCACUUGUUUCCAUAAAUUGGCAACAAAAACUGAAACACAGAAUGCUGCCCAGAAUCUUGAGAAAUUUGUACUUGAAUUAUUGUUAUGGUCCAUUAAACUCACUCUAAAAACUUUAAUAUGUUUCUGCUUCAGAGACUUGUUUGUCCAUGUACAGCCAUGUAACCACACUAUUUACAAUGCCCAAAGAGCAAAUUGUUUGAUUCAGCUGCAGCAAUGGUCUUUCCACAGAGAAAGUUUGCAGUUUUCAACAGCCCUAAGUGCUGCAUUCUCCUAACUGAGGUAAAUACUCUGCAUUGUUUUCUUCCCAGGUGAUUCAAGCUGCAAGAUAGAUGACUAGGACUCAAAUACCGGAAAAGAGAGCUCCACAGAACUUUUUCUCCAAGUGUGUCACCGAGAAAUAGUCCUGAAAGCAGAAUACCCCAACUGGCACAAGAGAACCACUGAUUUGCUUCCUGUCACCACAGAUCGUGCACACUGAGGAAGACAGACAACAAAUAACUCUGCGGAUAGAUCAACAUAGUGAGGAACUGAGUUCUCCAAACAGCAGCUACAUGAGUGAGCCAUUCUGCAAAUGAAUCAUAAGCCCAGGCAAGCCUUUAUGUGACAACUGUUUGAAGAUAACCAUACAUAAAGACUUGAUCCAAAACCAUUCAACUAAAUCACUCCAGAUUCUUGACCCACCAAAAAAAAUGUGAGAUAAGUGUUUUGUUUUGUUCGAGUUGUUUUUUAUUUCUUUAAUUUUGGUAAUAUAUAUAUAACAAAAUUCACCAUUUUAGCCAUUUUUAAGUGUAUAAUUUAAUUGGCAUCUAGUACCCUGAUAUUUUUUUACUGCCAUCACCACCACCCAUCAAAAGAACUCUUUUCUUUUUAAUUUGAAAAGUAUUACUGUUAAUUUUACAUCAAAUGAUUCAUAAAAUUUACCAGUGCAGUCAUCUACUCCGGGCUUUUUUAUUUUUUUCCUUGAGAAGGUUUUGAUUACACAUUUAAUAUCUUUACUAAUUACAGGUUUAUUCAGAUUUUCUAUUUCUUCAUGACUUAUUCUUAGUAGAUUGCAUGUUUCUACAAAUUUGUCCAUUUCAUUAAGAUUAUCCAAUUUGUUGGCAUACAAUUGCUGGUAGUACUUUCUUAUAAUCCUUUUCAUUGAUGUAAAAUAAGUAGUAAUAUUCCCUCUUUUAUUUCUAAUUUUAGUUAUUUGAAUCUUCUUUUCUUCCCUUAGUUUGUUUAGCUAACGGUUGUCAACAUUCUUGCUCUUUUCAAAGAACCAGUUAUUGGUUUUGUUGAAUUUCUCUAUUGUUUUUCU
rnacentral:lncRNA from 1 species